GCCUGGCUGGCUCAGUUGGAAGAGCAUGUGACUAUAGAUCUCAGGGUCGUGAGUUUUAGCCUCACGCUGAGUG
rnacentral:tRNA from 1 species